rnacentral:rRNA from 1 species
UACAGAGGUCCCAAGCGUUGUUCGGAUUCAUUGGGCGUAAAGGGUGCGUAGGCGGCGCGGUAAGUCGGGUGUGAAAUCUCGGGGCUUAACUCCGAAGCUGCAUUCGAUACUGCCGUGCUUGAGGACUGGAGAGGAGACUGGAAUUUACGGUGUAGCGGUGAAAUGCGUAGAUAUCGUAAGGAAGACCAGUGGCGAAGGCGGGUCUCUGGACAGUUCCUGACGCUGAGGCACGAAGGUCAGGGGAGCAAACGGG